AUCACAAUAUUUUUAACCAACUUAAAAAGGAGGUUAUUGAAAUACCAUUGUAUAAUAAAGAAGUUAAUUAAGCAUCUCAUUGUAGGGAAGCCCUACAGAAGUAGGUGUUACGUUAAUUUCUGCCUCUUGUACCAGCCAAAAUUAGACUGAAUUGCUAAAGAUAUUGCAAUUUUUUAAGGUAAAAUGUAACAUCACAGAUUUUUGUAAGUAUAGUUUUUUGCUGUAAAGUUUAUUUGGUAGACUGUUCUUUGAUGUGAUAUUAAUUUGAUUAUUUAAAUAAAAAUGUGUAUUGUA